CCUGAGCGACACGACCGUACCGCAAACCGACACUGGUGCGCGAGAUGAGUAUUCUAAGGCGCUUGAGAGAACUCAGGAGAAGGAACUCGGCAAAUUGACACCGUAACUUCGGAAGAAGGUGUGCCUUUAGUAGGUGAACCUGUACAAGGGGAGCCCAAUGAGGUUGCAAAAAAUCGGUGGCUGCGACUGUUUAAUAAAAACACAGCACUCUGCAAACACGAAAGUGGACGUAUAGGGUGUGACGCCUGCCCGGUGCUGGAAGAUUAAAUGAUGGGGUGCAAGCUCUUGAUUGAAGUCCCAGUAAACGGCGGCCGUAACAAUAACGGUCCUAAGGUAGCGAAAUUCCUUGUCGGGUAAGUUCCGACCUGCACGAAUGGCGUAACGAUGGCCACACUGUCUCCUCCUGAGACUCAGCGAAGUUGAAAUGUUUGUGAUGAUGCAAUCUCCCCGCGGAAAGACGGAAAGACCCCAUGAACCUUUACUGUAGCUUUGUAUUGGACUUUGAACAGAUCUGUGUAGGAUAGGUGGGAGGCUUUGAAGUGUGGUCGCUAGAUCGCAUGGAGCCAACGUUGAAAUACCACCCUGGUGUGUUUGAGGUUCUAACCUAGGCCCGUAAUCCGGGUCGGGGACAGUGCAUGGUAGGCAGUUUGACUGGGGCGGUCUCCUCCCAAAGCGUAACGGAGGAGUUCGAAGGUACGCUAGGUACGGUCGGACAUCGUGCUAAUAGUGCAAUGGCAUAAGCGUGCUUAACUGCGAGACUGACAAGUCGAGCAGAUGCGAAAGCAGGACAUAGUGAUCCGGUGGUUCUGUAUGGAAGGGCCAUCGCUCAACGGAUAAAAGGUACUCUGGGGAUAACAGGCUGAUACCGCCCAAGAGUUCAUAUCGACGGCGGUGUUUGGCACCUCGAUGUCGGCUCAUCUCAUCCUGGGGCUGUAGCCGGUCCCAAGGGUAUGGCUGUUCGCCAUUUAAAGAGGUACGUGAGCUGGGUUUAAAACGUCGUGAGACAGUUUGGUCCCUAUCUUCCGUGGGCGCUGCAGAUUUGAGGAAGCCUGCUCCUAGUACGAGAGGACCGGAGUGGACACACCUCUGGUGUAUCGGUUGUCACGCCAGUGGCAUUGCCGAGUAGCUAUGUGUGGAAGAGAUAACCGCUGAAAGCAUCUAAGCGGGAAACUCGUUUCAAGAUGAGAUCUGCCGGGGCCUUGAGCCCCCUAAAGAGUCGUUCAAGACCAGGACGUUGAUAGGUCGGGUGUGGAAGCGCAGUAAUGCGUUAAGCUAACCGAUACUAAUUGCUCGUGCGGCUUGACCU
rnacentral:rRNA from 1 species